rnacentral:lncRNA from 1 species
UUUACCUUCUCUUUCUCCAAUGGCAAACCAACCCAAAAGCUCCCUGAUCACCACCGAUUCCAGUUGAAGCAAAUCCCUGACCAUAAACAGGCCUGUAGGCGCAGCUUACCAGAGAAAAAGAAGCAGCGACUACUUCCAUUUUUCCCUCCUGCCUUCAUUUGUUCGACUAUCAAACAACUUCCACACAUCUUUUCCUUGCUCCUCCAUCGAUCUCAGGUAAAUUCCUUACCUUCUCUGAUCAAAAUUCGUCCAGCAACCACCGUGAACAUUAGGCACCUGCCAUGGUCGCCGGUGGCCUGAACAGUUCCAACCGGACGAUCCCGGUGGCGGGUUUGGUCCUAGUCAAGUGUAUAUAGUUCCUGAUUCCAUUAUUUUUCUGCCAUGUGAUGUCUAGGUCGACUCCAAGAUUCCCGUUCCAAAUCCCGCUUAGAACAGGAGCUUCCCGACACUUCCGACUCUCAAAACCAACGUGAGUUCUACGGCCCCUAUUUCUUAUUAUCAAUGUUUGGGGGAGAAUACAUGUAGUUCGGUCUUAUUAUCAUGAUGAAAAUGGUUCAAAACAAAUGAAUUAAAGUAAAACAACUAUCGCUAAGCACAUAUAUAUAAUCAUAUACAAGAAGAGUGUUGAUAAACUAAGAUUUCAUUAUAUGUACGUAAGUAUGAUUAUAACAACUUAUUUUAUAGAGAUAACUAUAAAUAUAAGUUGUGAAAUGUUACUGAGUAUCAAGUUCAUAUAAGUUAAAUAUUCAAAACAAUUAAGGGUUAUUAAAGUAUUGAUAUUCUAGAUAUAAGGGUAUGAAGUAAACUGUUAAGAAGAGAUAAAUAAAAGCUGUGAAAUUGUAAGUUCAAGGUACUAUGGUGUAAUAUGCUCAUACUCUAUAAUGCUGAAAAGAACAAUAAACGAAAACGGAACCAGUUACUUAUGGAGUAUAACAGAAAUAGUAAUAAAUCGUUACUAUAUAGUCAUACCAGAUUGAAUAACCAUAUGUUUAUACUUAAAUCAAGAUACCAAAUUUGUGCAUGUAUAUGUCGGAUAUUAAAGAAACAGAUUUAAAGUUAUUAACCUGCACAAGUACUGUUAAGGCUGUGAAACCCAAUACAAAAUGUACAUAUACAUACACUAAAAGGGUAACAGAUGGAAUUUCCGUAUAAAUUGUUAUUAUGGUUCCUUGCACAUUAAACAUCAUAGUAUAAAAUAACUAAUAUGUUAUCAUAAUAUCAAAGUCGAAUCAAAGAACAAUAAGUAUUGAAGUUCAAGAAUUAUGAGUAUCAUUUUCUUAAAUGGCGAAUAACUUCGCGUUACUAGUGAAUCUAGAAUGAACAACAUAGGUUUAUUAUGCUUAUUGUUUGUGGGUUUAUUAUACCCAUUCCGUAUAGGUUCAUUAUAUCUAUUCUUUGUGGGUUUAUCAUACCCAUUCCGUAUAGGUUCAUUAUACCUAUUCUUUGAGGGUUUAUUAUACCCAUUCCAAAUAGGUUCAUCAUACCUUUCAGAAUACCGAACACAAUCCGUCGAGUAUUCAUAUCCGAUUUCGCAAAGGCUAAGUUCACAAUACUUAGUAGAGACCUUCUGUCAAAUAACCGUUAAUCCUCGACGGAACGACUAACGCUAGGUAUAAGUGUCAUAACAUUGAUCUUAUACGGUACGCCCGCCCGCCUGGAAUUGCUAGCUACAACUACGUCUGACGAGAUGAAUUUUGGCGCUGGCGUUAGCAUUAUCGAACAUUACCCCGCGUUAUUACGGGGUGAAUGACUUUAGCACGCGCGCCCUAUCAUGGUGUCGGUGCAAUAAUAAAGUUUAGUGUCAAGAGUUCGGUUAUGACAUCAUCUAAUAUUCCUUUGUUCUUAAAUCAAUAAAAACGACCAUUGAUAAUAUAAUUAUCAUAUGAAAAUUGACAAAGAGAGAUUCAUUUACUAUUAAGUUGGUUCAACACAUGCAAUAGUAAAAUAAUCAUUCUUGGCGAAAAAUUGACAAAUUAUGUUUUGAAAAGGACAAAGAUUUCUAUCUCUACAUUAAAUUCUUUUUAUAAAAAUCUUUUGUUAUUUUUAGAAUAUAUGGAGUCAAAACCUAUAGAACUCACCAACAUUAUUGUUGACGUAUUUUAACAUGUAUUCUCAGGAAAUUAAGGCAAGAAAUUCACGCGAGGAGUAUGGAAUCAUCGUCUUAUAUUUUUGUUCUAAAUUAUGUUUUAUGUCCUCUUUUUGAAUCGUUGAAGAUUUGUCAUGAAACAUGUAACAAAGUAAGAUAUAAUUAUGUCGUAUGUGAUGUAAAACUUUAAGUGGUUGUUUAAUGUUUGAUAUAUGCUAUGUUUGUGAUAUUCGAUUUUUGUCACUCACCCGGUGAUUCCGCCGUUGGCUGGGGUGUGACAGAUAUCAACGACUCAAUGUAAGUAUUUUGUUGUCCCUGGUUGAAAUUGAAUGUGUGCAUGCUUCGUAGA